rnacentral:rRNA from 1 species
GAUGAACGCUGGCGGCGUGCCUAAUACAUGCAAGUAGAACGCUGAAGGAGGAGCUUGCUCUUCUGGAUGAGUUGCGAAAGGGUGAGUAACGCGUAGGUAACCUGCCUGGUAGCGGGGGAUAACUAUUGGAAACGAUAGCUAAUACCGCAUGACAACAGUUAUUGCAUGAUAACUGUUUAAAAGGGGCAACUGCUCCACUACCAGAUGGACCUGCGUUGUAUUAGCUAGUUGGUGAGGUAACGGCUCACCAAGGCGACGAUACAUAGCCGACCUGAGAGGGUGAUCGGCCACACUGGGACUGAGACACGGCCCAGACUCCUACGGGAGGCAGCAGUAGGGAAUCCUCGGCAAUGGACGGAAGUCUGACCGAGCAACGCCGCGUGAGUGAAGAAGGUUUUCGGAUCGUAAAGCUCUGUUGUAAGAGAAGAACGAGUGUGAGAGUGGAAAGUUCACACUGUGACGGUAUCUUACCAGAAAGGGACGGCUAACUACGUG